rnacentral:rRNA from 1 species
UCACUUGUCCCCUAAAUGAGGACGCGUAUGAAAGGCAACAUGAGAGAAGACCUGUCUCCUAAGGACUGCCAAUGAAAUUGAACUGCCAGUUCAAAAGCUGGUAUUUUUAAGCAAGACAAAAAGACCCUGUGGAACUUUAAUGAACUGUCUUAAAAAAAAGACAGUAAUUUCAGUUGGGACAACUUUAGAAAAAAUAAACUUCCUAAUCUACCAAGACUAACAAGUCAAAACCUACUAUAUGACCCAGUAGUACUGAUUAACGAAAUAAGCUACCCCAGGGAUAACAGCGCCACCUUCUCAAAGAGUUCAUAUCAACAAGAAGACCUACGACCUCGAUGUUGGAUCAGGGUACCCAGACGGUG